GACGAACGCUGGCGGCGUGCCUAAUACAUGCAAGUAGAACGCUGAAGAGAGGAGCUUCCUCUUCUUGGAUGAGUUGCGAACGGGUGAGUAACGCGUAGGUAACCUGCCUUGUAGCGGGGGAUAACUAUUGGAAACGAUAGCUAAUACCGCAUAACAAUGGAUGACACAUGUCAUUUAUUUGAAAGGGGCAAUUGCUCCACUUCAAGAUGGACCUGCGUUGUAUUAGCUAGUAGGUGAGGUAAUGGCUCACCUAGGCGACGAUACAUAGCCGACCUGAGAGGGUGAUCGGCCACACUGGGACUGAGACACGGCCCAGACUCCUACGGGAGGCAGCAGUAGGGAAUCUUCGGCAAUGGGGGCAACCCUGACCGAGCAACGCCGCGUGAGUGAAGAAGGUUUUCGGAUCGUAAAGCUCUGUUGUAAGUCAAGAACGGGUGUGAGAGUGGAAAGUUCACACUGUGACGGUAGCUUACCAGAAAGGGACGGCUAACUACGUG
rnacentral:rRNA from 1 species